UUACGCUGUUAUCCCUAAGGUAAUUUAGUCUUAUAGUCACUAAAAAUGGAUCAAAAAUAUAUAAAUAAAUAUAUAAAAAUAAAAAGAGUUAUAUUAAUCUUCCCAUCACCCCAACAAAAUUUACAUAAUAUUAAAUUAUUAACCCACAAAAAAUAUGAAAUUAAAUCAAACUCUAUAGGGUCUUCUCGUCCCAAAAAAAUAUUUAGGCAUUUUAACCUAAAAUUUAAGUUCAAAAAAAUAAAAAUUUAAGACAGUAAAUACCUUGUCAAAUCAUUCAUUCCAGCAUUCAAUUAAAAAACUAAUGAUUAUGCUACCUUUGCACAGUCAAAAUACUGCGGCCAUUUAAAAAUCAGUGGGCAGAUACUACAUCAAAAUAUAUACAAGAAGAGAUGUUUUUGUUAAACAGGCG
rnacentral:rRNA from 1 species